GCUUGUUGAUGGUAGAAGUUGUGAAGCGCAUAACAUAAAAGAGUUGUGUAGAGAUUGUAUGGGGUGUUGACGUUUUUGACAUUUCCUUUUUCUUGUGCUCUUUUGAGAUCUUUGCAGGGGUUGGAAAUUUGCAAUCACAAUGCCACUAGGAAACAGUGUUUUUUUUUUGUUUUCAUGCCACAAUUAUGGGCAACACGGCAGGGCAAAGUUUGCCUCAAGUCCUGGCUCGUUCGUAGCCUUGAUUUGCAUUCAAGAAAGCAGGUCUGUGCCCAAAUGGAUGCUGCACAUUUUUAUAUUCUUCAAAGCAAUCGAGGUUCAUUUGCCGAUUCUGCAUGGAAUAUGCGAAGCAAAGCAGUGUCAUGCUGACGCGGAGACGAAGACGUUGUAUCUGGCGGUGGUUCUGGAGACAGCGCGGUUCGAUCCAGCUGUGGGCCUGACGUCACCCAGCAGAAAUGGCAGCAUGUUAUCACCAGCUACGAGGCGCGCAUACAGACAAUGUCCAGAAACAAUCACGUCAUCUCCAGAGCGCCACGCGACCACGAUGGUACUGCCAACGAUGGCCUGCUCACCGACAGCUCGCCGCCAGCCGGCGGCGUUCCGCCAGCCAACGGGCUUCCGCCAGCCAACGGCGUUCUGCCCGCCGAUGGUGGCCCGACGACCGACUGUCGCUCGCCGGCCGAAGGUGAUCCGGUAGCCGAACGAGGCUCGCCAACCUACGCCGAUCGACGCCGGCCCGCCCGCCGACGACGCCCUGCCAGCCGACCGCGUCCCGCUCGCCGACGGCGUCGAUACGCCGGCGCGCGUAUCGACAUUGAUCAGAAACGAUCACAUUAUGUCCAGGUCAUUAGUCGCGGGCGCUCGAGCUGACGGUGUCGUCUGACGGCUCCACGGUGACCAGCGCCGCCUCCGCCGAGAACAUCAGACUCCUGAAAUGCUAAUGGCCGUACACGAACAAGAGGCUCUAAACAUCCAGGUGCAGGAUAAGCGCCAUGCUCAGAGGCGUCAUCUGGAGAAGGCCGCACAGUGCACUUAAGGCUGAGCUCGGGUGAAGUGCGCGCAGACAGAUAUGAUCAACUGACGGGCCGGCCAUCAGAUAUCAGUACGGAACUCAAGAUGAUUGGAGCCGACGUGGUUCGGUUGAUGGUGUGUCAGGGUUGAUUGAGAGUGGAGGCGAGACACCCGGAUCUGUGAAUGAUACGCCGAUACGGAUCUCGACGUCGUCUCGCAAUUUGUGCUAUGUAAUAUGACGGCUAUGCCGUGGUAUCAUUCACUCUCGAUGCGCUUAUAAAUAAUAAAUAGGACAGAGACUGGAAUUAAGAUUAUUAUAUUUGGAUGUAAGGGGCAAGUUUUGGCCAGCGCUAUAUUAGAAAUCGUGAGCGUGCUAGUUGUAAUCAAUCGCGCGCUUCUUGCUGAGCAUCUGUGAGCGAGAAAAUACUUUCUCUGGAACGUUCGUCGUAAAAUAUGUGUAUCUUUGGAAUAAGUUGUCAGAACAUGAAUGCAUUUUUGAUGUCCACUGCAGCUGCUGUUCUGGAACAGAAACAUGCCGAGAUCGGCUGUGUAGGUAUGUACUAUGUACGCUGUGGCAAAAUCAAGCAGCCGUACCAUGAAUCAAAAGCGAUAUGUGAAUUAAAGUGGAUAUAUUUCA